rnacentral:rRNA from 1 species
GACGUAGGGCGCGAGCGUUGUCCGGAUUUAUUGGGCGUAAAGAGCUCAUAGGCGGCUUGUUGCGUCAGCUGUGAGAACCCGCAGCUCAACUGUGGGCUUGCAGCUGAUACGGGCAGGCUUGAGUUCGGUAGGGGAGACUGGAAUUCCUGGUGUAGCGGUGAAAUGCGCAGAUAUCAGGAGGAACACCGGUGGCGAAGGCGGGUCUCUGGGCCGAUACUGACGCUGAGGAGCGAAAGCGUGGGGAGCGAACAGG